rnacentral:lncRNA from 1 species
GCUGCUUGUCAGGAUCCCGGUUCGCUCACUUACGACACCGCUACCAAAACUGGAGGAACGGCAAUGACCAGAUUAGGUGAACAAUGCUGGGGUGUUCGGUGGAAAUUCAAUUGCUCUACUAAGAGUUGCAUUGGUUGACGCUGCUCGUCACGGACACGGCGUCACCGUCAGGGGCUAAUAUUGCUACGUGAGCAGUACCAUGAUCUCCGUUGUUACCCGGCGCGUGUUCCCCAUAAUGACGAGGAUCGUUCGAAGUUCUGUGAUCAUUUAUUCGUCGUCUCACCUCGUCGGCAAAAUUUCUGGAGUUGAUAAGUCAACGUAGGUGGGGUCUGCAAGUUCGGUACGCAAAGCGUACGCGUACUUGAAAGCCUCGAUGAUACGGUGAUGGGUCGUCAAAGUCGCCUGUGGGGUCGCCAUGCUUGAGGGACUGAAAUCGUAUCCAUCGAGGACGUUGAGAAUGAAGGCGAGGAUCGAACCGCUUCCGGGUGGUCCAAUAGUGUAAAGCGUUUCUCCAGUAGAAAGCCUCGUCGUUAUCGGUGAUAUCCAUUUGGCCCUGAUACGUAAAUCCUAAGGAUCAGCUAUGGCCUCGCUGUUCAUGCCGAGCGAGUCGUAUUGGACUUUGGUCAGAUUGUAGCCGGCCUCGCAGAUCUUGAUACUUGGCUCGAAGAGCUCGGCCCAAGGCAGUCGGCCGAAGCGUUGAUGGACGGUCCAGUAUCCAGCCAAUUCUCCGGGAACGGGAAUAGCCAGAGGACCUGGAUGUUACGGACGCAAGAAAAAUUCAAGGAUAGUUUCCAGGACAAGCAAAAUUCAAGGACAUUUCCAGGACCAUUGGACACCACGUUCCAUAAUCGUCACCAAGCAUUCGUCAAACAAUGCGGAGUAAGCGCGUACCAACUUUGACUUACCAAUCUGCGAUGCAAGAGCCGGGUGACCAUUGUAAGUGUCGGAAUCGGCAGCACGAGGUGCGCAUUCACGGGCGUCGAGGGUUGCUGCUUGUUGGCUCGACCUUUGAUAUAUUGUCAUCAGGAAACCACCACCGAACCCCAUGCUCUGCAUGUUUAUCAAACCGUUGCAGAUCAUCGCUGCUAUUGCUGCGUCCACUGCCGAUCCGUUUCGUUUUAUAAUCGACCUAUAGACAAAGAAUUUUGACUAAAAGAAUCUGAGAACUUUAGAUGUAUCCAUAUUCAUGUAUAAAAUAUACAUAUAAAGUAUGGAAUUAGAUGAAACGAAAAUGAUAUUUGAUCCUUGAACAUGCUACCUCAUCUUUCGUCUUGAGAACAAAAUUGCAAAUACAAGUAUAACGAUGAUAUACUUCUAAUGCAUUUUUCUAACGAAUGCUCACCUGCCUGUUACAGCGCAUUGCUGUCCAUCGACGCAAACAGCGCCACGUCGAAAAACUCUAAGCUUACUCCACGAAGGAGGCUGUUGAUCCAGUGGAUCAGGAGGAUGGAGUGUCGCGGUCUUUGGUGUCUGGAUUAGAGCUCGGUUCGCCCGGUUUCUUUGCCCCCGUAACGUCUUCCCCCCGCUGAUCGUAAUUUGCCAAUAACGAUAUCACGACUCAAGGGAUGUGGUGGGUAGGUAAUACGAGGUACGUAAGGAGGAUCCAGGGAUAGCUGUGAGGUGCACACGCGGUCGACUGUGUGAUAUAUUGAUUCGCGGUACCGAAUUGGACGAAUCGACCCCGUCUUCUUCACCAGCCAUACCAAUGCCCUACUUUUAUCACCGUAUACAUACGGAUGAAUGUAUUUACCAUAGGAAUCGCUGUCUGAUGACAAAAACAGUGAACAGCAAAAAGAUGAAAGGAUUUUGCUGGCCGUUGUUCAUUUUCCUGGGGUUUACCACCGAACGCGAUAAAUUUGGCACUGAAACCUCGAUGUCUGCAGUUAUACAAUAAAAUAUUUUCGAACGUGUAAACCGUACAUGUGAGUAUCUUCAUAUCAGACAUUCUAGAAAAUUUGUGGUUUGGAAUAAUCAUUUUCGUGUAAUCGCAGUAGUUUCGAAAAGUACAUUUUCACGAUCAAAUCAUGCCUGCGUACUUCUGUUCACGUUACGAUGGGAUAUUAAGCUUCGACUCUUUGGCUAAUCACUUCCGUCGAGCUUUAUCAUCAGGAUUUCGUGGCUGUGGCCUUGGAUAAUUGAAACCUGCACACGUAGGGGAAUUGCUUUGUUAAUGUGCGCCUGGGUCUAUAUUCGGAUAACAGACGUAUAAACGUAUAUAUUUGGAACCCUGAAAUAUCGUGGAUUAGUGAAUAAUUGAUCUGCCGAGCUGGACGGGUCAGGGCUCGUAUUCCUCUGCGUGAAUUGAGUGUAAAACGACGAGAAGAACCCAGAUAUUCUACGCAAUUUGCAGUCGGG